rnacentral:rRNA from 1 species
GGGCAGGAGGGCAGCUACACAUGCAGUCGAGCGGUAGCACAGAGAGCUUGCUCUCGGGUGACGAGCGGCGGACGGGUGAGUAAUGUCUGGGAAACUGCCUGAUGGAGGGGGAUAACUACUGGAAACGGUAGCUAAUACCGCAUAACGUCGCAAGACCAAAGUGGGGGACCUUCGGGCCUCAUGCCAUCAGAUGUGCCCAGAUGGGAUUAGCUAGUAGGUGGGGUAACGGCUCACCUAGGCGACGAUCCCUAGCUGGUCUGAGAGGAUGACCAGCCACACUGGAACUGAGACACGGUCCAGACUCCUACGGGAGGCAGCAGUGGGGAAUAUUGCACAAUGGGCGCAAGCCUGAUGCAGCCAUGCCGCGUGUGUGAAGAAGGCCUUCGGGUUGUAAAGCACUUUCAGCGGGGAGGAAGGCGGUGAGGUUAAUAACCUUGUCGAUUGACGUUACCCGCAGAAGAAGCACCGGCUAACUCCGUGCCAGCAGCCGCGGUAAUACGGAGGGUGCAAGCGUUAAUCGGAAUUACUGGGCGUAAAGCGCACGCAGGCGGUCUGUCAAGUCGGAUGUGAAAUCCCCGGGCUCAACCUGGGAACUGCAUUCGAAACUGGCAGGCUAGAGUCUUGUAGAGGGGGGUAGAAUUCCAGGUGUAGCGGUGAAAUGCGUAGAGAUCUGGAGGAAUACCGGUGGCGAAGGCGGCCCCCUGGACAAAGACUGACGCUCAGGUGCGAAAGCGUGGGGAGCAAACAGGAUUAGAUACCCUGGUAGUCCACGCCGUAAACGAUGUCGAUUUGGAGGUUGUGCCCUUGAGGCGUGGCUUCCGGAGCUAACGCGUUAAAUCGACCGCCUGGGGAGUACGGCCGCAAGGUUAAAACUCAAAUGAAUUGACGGGGGCCCGCACAAGCGGUGGAGCAUGUGGUUUAAUUCGAUGCAACGCGAAGAACCUUACCUGGUCUUGACAUCCACAGAACUUUCCAGAGAUGGAUUGGUGCCUUCGGGAACUGUGAGACAGGUGCUGCAUGGCUGUCGUCAGCUCGUGUUGUGAAAUGUUGGGUUAAGUCCCGCAACGAGCGCAACCCUUAUCCUUUGUUGCCAGCGGUCCGGCCGGGAACUCAAAGGAGACUGCCAGUGAUAAACUGGAGGAAGGUGGGGAUGACGUCAAGUCAUCAUGGCCCUUACGACCAGGGCUACACACGUGCUACAAUGGCAUAUACAAAGAGAAGCGACCUCGCGAGAGCAAGCGGACCUCAUAAAGUAUGUCGUAGUCCGGAUUGGAGUCUGCAACUCGACUCCAUGAAGUCGGAAUCGCUAGUAAUCGUAGAUCAGAAUGCUACGGUGAAUACGUUCCCGGGCCUUGUACACACCGCCCGUCACACCAUGGGAGUGGGUUGCAAAAGAAGUAGGUAGCUUAACCUUCGGGAGGGCGCUACCACUUUGAUCUUUCG